rnacentral:rRNA from 1 species
UACGAAGGUGGCAAGCGUUGUUCGGAUUUACUGGGCGUACAGGGAGCGUAGGCGGUUGGAUAAGCCCUCCGUGAAAUCUCCAGGCUUAACCUGGAAAGUGCAGAGGGGACUGUUCAGCUAGAGGAUGGGAGAGGAGCGCGGAAUUCCCGGUGUAGCGGUGAAAUGCGUAGAGAUCGGGAGGAACACCUGAGGCGAAGGCGGGCUACUGGGCCGAUACUGACGCUGAGGCGCGAAAGCCAGGGGAGCAAACGGG